CUGUGACUCCUACGGGGAGGCAGCAGUGGGGAAUAUUGCACAAUGGGGGAAACCCUGAUGCAGCCAUGCCGCGUGUGUGAAGAAGGCCUUCGGGUUGUAAAGCACUUUCAGUAGGGAGGAAGGUAGUGUAGUUAACACCUGCACUAUUUGACGUUACCUACAGAAGAAGCACCGGCUAACUCCGUGCCAGCAGCCGCGGUAAUACGGAGGGUGCGAGCGUUAAUCGGAAUUACUGGGCGUAAAGCGCAUGCAGGCGGCCUGUUAAGUCAGAUGUGAAAGCCCGGGGCUUAACCUCGGAAUUGCAUUUGAAACUGGCAGGCUAGAGUCUUGUAGAGGGGGGUAGGAAUUUCAGGUGUAGCGGUGAAAUGCGUAGAGAUCUGAAGGAAUACCAGUGGCGAAGGCGGCCCCCUGGACAAAGACUGACGCUCAGAUGCGAAAGCGUGGGGAGCAAACAGGAUUAGAUACCCUGGUAG
rnacentral:rRNA from 1 species